UAGCUCAGACAGUAAAGUGUCUGCCUGCAAUGCAGGAGACCCAGGUUUGAUCCCUGG
rnacentral:tRNA from 1 species